rnacentral:lncRNA from 1 species
UUUCCUAUUGUCUCCAUCCCCAUCCUCUCAUUCUCCCGUCUCUCCACCAUCCUGUCCCAUAUCCAUCCCAUUCCAUCCCAUCCCUGUUCCCAUCCCAAUGCUUUUCCCAUUCCUGUCCGUAUUCCAUCCUUUAUCCCAUCCCCACCCCAUCCCACCCCCAUCCCCAUCUCUACCCCACAGAUGGAGCAGAUCAAACGCGCCAACCGCCUCUACACAUCGGACACCAUUUUCCUGAAGCCCACCCUCCUCAUCCCCCCCCCGGGGUGCCCCAAUGAGGCUCCCAUGGGGUCAGCGCCGUCGGACCCUACAACCACCACCCCCACCGCCCCCACCACCCCCUCCUCCACGCCACACCACGACCUCACAGCCAGCGACUUCCUGCGCCGCCUGGACGCCGACAUCGGCCGCUCCAAAGCAGCGGUGGUGGAGCAGCAGCUGCGUGCGGGUGUCCCCAAGGCCGCCGUCCCGCUCCCCCCCCCAGGGCCGUCCCUGCGGGGUCCCCAACUCGGCGCUCAGCCCCUCACCCGGACACGGCGAGCAGCUGCACUGCGUGACACCGAGGAUGAGAUCUUCACAUUGUGACUGUGGGGACAUCAUUAUGGCCGUGGGGACAUCAUUAUGGCCAUGGGGGCACUGUGACUGUGGGAAUGGGAUGGAAUGGGGGGGGGGCUUCCACCGGGUCGUGCCCCACUUUGGGGUCAGCCAAACCCAUGGACUGGAGCCUCCCCUCCCACUGGAAUGGGGUUCACCCAGUGAUGCUUUCCCUCUGAUCCUAUUUAUUUGUAUGGCUUUGUCCCUUUGGGGUCUUUGUCCUUUGGGGUCUUUGCCUUUGGGGGUGUUUUUGGGGGUGGGGGUCGGGGUCGGUCACCCGUGGGUUUCCCACCCUGCAAUGUGUAAAUAAAAGGGAGCACCGUGGGGACACCACCGUCACAGUUGUGGGGUCACCAUCACUGCUGUGGGAUGUGGGCGCCGGCCCUAUUGGACCCUUCAGGCCGCCAGAGGUCGCCGUGUGCCCUCAUUGCGGGGGGGACACCGCAGA